UGGGGAAUCUUGGACAAUGGGCGCAAGCCUGAUCCAGCCAUGCCGCGUGUGUGAAGAAGGCCUUCGGGUUGUAAAGCACUUUCAGCGAGGAAGAACGCCUAGUGGUUAAUACCCAUUAGGAAAGACAUCACUCGCAGAAGAAGCACCGGCUAACUCCGUGCCAGCAGCCGCGGUAAUACGGAGGGUGCAAGCGUUAAUCGGAAUUACUGGGCGUAAAGCGCGCGUAGGUGGCUUGAUAAGCCGGUUGUGAAAGCCCCGGGCUCAACCUGGGAACGGCAUCCGGAACUGUCAGGCUAGAGUGCAGGAGAGGAAGGUAGAAUUCCCGGUGUAGCGGUGAAAUGCGUAGAGAUCGGGAGGAAUACCAGUGGCGAAGGCGGCCUUCUGGACUGACACUGACACUGAGGUGCGAAAGCGUGGGUAGCAAACAGGAUUAGAUACCCCGGUAGUCC
rnacentral:rRNA from 1 species